UUAAGCGACUAAGCGUACACGGUGGAUGCCCUGGCAGUCAGAGGCGAUGAAGGACGUGCUAAUCUGCGAAAAGCGUCGGUAAGGUGAUAUGAACCGUUACAGCCGGCGAUGUCCGAAUGGGGAAACCCAGUGCAAUUCGUUGCACUAUCGUUAACUGAAUACAUAGGUUAACGAGGCGAACCGGGGGAACUGAAACAUCUAAGUACCCCGAGGAAAAGAAAUCAACCGAGAUUCCCCCAGUAGCGGCGAGCGAACGGGGAGCAGCCCAGAGUCUGAAUCAGCUUGUGUGUUAGUGGAACGGUCUGGAAAGUCCGACGGUACAGGGUGAUAGUCCCGUACACCAAAAUGCACAGGCUGUGAACUCGAAGAGUAGGGCGGGACACGUGGUAUCCUGUCUGAAUAUGGGGGGACCAUCCUCCAAGGCUAAAUACUCCUGACUGACCGAUAGUGAACCAGUACCGUGAGGGAAAGGCGAAAAGAACCCCGGCGAGGGGAGUGAAAAAGAACCUGAAACCGUGUACGUACAAGCAGUGGGAGCACCUUCGGGUGUGACUGCGUACCUUUUGUAUAAUGGGUCAGCGACUUAUAUUCUGUAGCAAGGUUAACCGUAUAGGGGAGCCGCAGGGAAACCGAGUCUUAACUGGGCGUUAAGUUGCAGGGUAUAGACCCGAAACCCGGUGAUCUAGCCAUGGGCAGGUUGAAGGUUGGGUAACACUAACUGGAGGACCGAACCGACUAAUGUUGAAAAAUUAGCGGAUGACUUGUGGCUGGGGGUGAAAGGCCAAUCAAACCGGGAGAUAGCUGGUUCUCCCCGAAAGCUAUUUAGGUAGCGCCUCGUGAACUCAUCUUCGGGGGUAGAGCACUGUUUCGGCUAGGGGGUCAUCCCGACUUACCAACCCGAUGCAAACUACGAAUACCGAAGAAUGUUAUCACGGGAGACACACGGCGGGUGCUAACGUCCGUCGUGAAGAGGGAAACAACCCAGACCGCCAGCUAAGGUCCCAAAGUCAUGGUUAAGUGGGAAACGAUGUGGGAAGGCACAGACAGCCAGGAUGUUGGCUUAGAAGCAGCCAUCAUUUAAAGAAAGCGUAAUAGCUCACUGGUCGAGUCGGCCUGCGCGGAAGAUGUAACGGGGCUAAACCAUGCACCGAAGCUGCGGCAGCGACACUAUGUGUUGUUGGGUAGGGGAGCGUUCUGUAAGCCUGCGAAGGUGUGCUGUGAGGCAUGCUGGAGGUAUCAGAAGUGCGAAUGCUGACAUAAGUAACGAUAAAGCGGGUGAAAAGCCCGCUCGCCGGAAGACCAAGGGUUCCUGUCCAACGUUAAUCGGGGCAGGGUGAGUCGACCCCUAAGGCGAGGCCGAAAGGCGUAGUCGAUGGGAAACAGGUUAAUAUUCCUGUACUUGGUGUUACUGCGAAGGGGGGACGGAGAAGGCUAUGUUAGCCGGGCGACGGUUGUCCCGGUUUAAGCAUGUAGGCUGAUUGUCCAGGCAAAUCCGGAUAAUCAAGGCUGAGGUGUGAUGACGAGGCACUACGGUGCUGAAGUAACAAAUGCCCUGCUUCCAGGAAAAGCCUCUAAGCAUCAGGUAACAUUAAAUCGUACCCCAAACCGACACAGGUGGUCAGGUAGAGAAUACCAAGGCGCUUGAGAGAACUCGGGUGAAGGAACUAGGCAAAAUGGUGCCGUAACUUCGGGAGAAGGCACGCUGGUGUGUAGGUGAAGUCCCUGCGGAUGGAGCUGAGACCAGUCGAAGAUACCAGCUGGCUGCAACUGUUUAUUAAAAACACAGCACUGUGCAAACACGAAAGUGGACGUAUACGGUGUGACGCCUGCCCGGUGCCGGAAGGUUAAUUGAUGGGGUUAUCCGUAAGGAGAAGCUCUUGAUCGAAGCCCCGGUAAACGGCGGCCGUAACUAUAACGGUCCUAAGGUAGCGAAAUUCCUUGUCGGGUAAGUUCCGACCUGCACGAAUGGCGUAAUGAUGGCCAGGCUGUCUCCACCCGAGACUCAGUGAAAUUGAACUCGCUGUGAAGAUGCAGUGUACCCGCGGCAAGACGGAAAGACCCCGUGAACCUUUACUAUAGCUUGACACUGAACAUUGAGCCUUGAUGUGUAGGAUAGGUGGGAGGCUUUGAAGCGUGGACGCCAGUCUGCGUGGAGCCAACCUUGAAAUACCACCCUUUAAUGUUUGAUGUUCUAACGUUGGCCCCUGACCGGGGUUGCGGACAGUGUCUGGUGGGUAGUUUGACUGGGGCGGUCUCCUCCCAAAGCGUAACGGAGGAGCACGAAGGUUAGCUAAUCCUGGUCGGACAUCAGGAGGUUAGUGCAAUGGCAUAAGCUAGCUUGACUGCGAGCGUGACGGCGCGAGCAGGUGCGAAAGCAGGUCAUAGUGAUCCGGUGGUUCUGAAUGGAAGGGCCAUCGCUCAACGGAUAAAAGGUACUCCGGGGAUAACAGGCUGAUACCGCCCAAGAGUUCAUAUCGACGGCGGUGUUUGGCACCUCGAUGUCGGCUCAUCACAUCCUGGGGCUGAAGUAGGUCCCAAGGGUAUGGCUGUUCGCCAUUUAAAGUGGUACGCGAGCUGGGUUUAGAACGUCGUGAGACAGUUCGGUCCCUAUCUGCCGUGGGCGCUGGAGAAUUGAGGGGGGCUGCUCCUAGUACGAGAGGACCGGAGUGGACGCAUCACUGGUGUUCGGGUUGUCAUGCCAAUGGCACUGCCCGGUAGCUAAAUGCGGAAGAGAUAAGUGCUGAAAGCAUCUAAGCACGAAACUUGCCCCGAGAUG
rnacentral:rRNA from 1 species